GGCUCUUGCAUUUGCGGAGCCGGAAACGGCUAGUCUCCAUUAUAGUUUUUUUGUUUUGAAAUACUGUGUCUUUGUUUCGACGACAAUGGCUCUUGCCUUCCCCUUCGACGACAAUGGCUGCUUUACGCUUCAGUUUCUGCCAGUGAAAAUGGGAGCUUCGAUAUUGUCAUUGGAGAGCUAAGUAUUUUUACUCUAUGAGAAAUUUUUGUAUAUUACAUAUAUUGAUGUGAUAAAUAUUAUUCUGUGUAACUAGUCUUAUUUUCAUGGGAACUGCUUUUAUCGCAGGCUAAAAUUGGUGUUAAACUGUCUCACGGGUCUCAAUCCGUGUCUGUGAGACGGUUUCACAUAAUUGUUACACUUUAUCGCAAGCUAAAAUUACGCGUUAUUGUAUGUCUUUGCAUCUCUAUUUGAUGAUUACAUUUUAGAGUAUGAUUGAUAAGCUUUCUUUGAUGUAACCAUUUCCUACACCGUAUGGUGAGGGCUACAUUAGCUGUUAUGCAAUUAUUGUUUUUGUGAUAGAAA